UACGGGGGGGGCAAGCGUUGUUCGGAAUUACUGGGCGUAAAGCGCGUGUAGGCGGUUGUUCAAGUCCGGUGUGAAAGCCUUGAGCUCAACUCAAGAAAUGCACUUGAUACUGGAUGACUAGAGGACCGGAGAGGAUAGUGGAAUUCCCAGUGUAGUGGUGAAAUACGUAGAGAUUGGGAAGAACACCAGUGGCGAAGGCGGCUAUCUGGACGGUUUCUGACGCUAAGACGCGAAAGCGUGGGGAGCAAACAGG
rnacentral:rRNA from 1 species